CCGCCAGGAUCAUUCCUCAUUUUUUGCAUUUUGCGGCCAAAAACCUAGAAUUCCGCCCGAUUCCCAUAUUUUCGUGUGUUAUAGUCUACGCCUUUCGAAUGGGCCGGGCCCCCCGGACUCGGAUCACCUAAAACUUUUUCGGGCCAUCAAAGAAGACCUAAGGAACCAUAGUCACCUUCCCUCCAUAAUCGUUUCUCAUUUUUUGGCCAAAACACUAGAAUUCUGCCCGAUUCCCAUAUUUUCGUGUGCUAUACCCACGCCUUCCAAGUGGUCCCGGGAACCCCGGACGCCGAUCGCCUAAAAUUUUCCCGGGCCAUCAAAUACGACCUAAGGAACCAUAGUCACUGCCCCGCCAUGAUCGUUCCUCAUAUUUUUGCAUUUCUCGGCUAGAAAACUAGAAUUCAGCCCGAUUACCAUAUUUUUGUGUGCUAUAGCCCACACCUUCCAAGUGGUCCCGGGACCCCCUGACCCCGAUCGCCUAAAAAUUUUCCGGGCCAUCAAAUACGACCUAAGGAACCAUAGUCACCGCCC
rnacentral:lncRNA from 1 species